rnacentral:rRNA from 1 species
AGCGAACGCUGGCGGCAGGCCUAACACAUGCAAGUCGAACGAACUCUUCGGAGUUAGUGGCGGACGGGUGAGUAACACGUGGGAACGUGCCUUUUGGUUCGGAAUAACUCAGGGAAACUUGUGCUAAUACCGAAUGUGCCCUUCGGGGGAAAGAUUUAUCGCCAUUAGAGCGGCCCGCGUCGGAUUAGCUAGUUGGUGAGGUAACGGCUCACCAAGGCGACGAUCAGUAGCUGGUCUGAGAGGAUGACCAGCCACACUGGGACUGAGACACGGCCCAGACUCUUACGCGAGGCGGGAGUGGGGAAUCGUGCGAAAUGGGCUAAAGGAUGACGCAGCCAGGCCGGGUGAAUUAUGAAGGUCGGGGGAUUGAAAAAUUCUUUCACCGGGGCAGAUAAUGACGGUACCCGGAGAAGAAGCCCCGGCUAACUUCGUG